CCUAAAUCACCCAUUCGCCACAUUUCACACUUACAGAACCCUAAAUCCCUCACUCUUUUCCUUCACGCUUCCUGAUUUCCCUUUCUUCUUCGCCUUCAAGGCUAUGAAAUUCAAUCAAUUCAAUGUAUUUUAUCAACCCGUUUUGUUAUAUUUGAUUGUUGGUGGAAGACGGUAGAGGUUCUCCGAAGUCACAGCUGCCCAUCCGGUGGUGGUGCUUCGAUAGAGGAAGUUGGUGGCGGUGGUCGUGGCCUGAAGAGGAAUUAUGACGGCAACAUGGGUUCAUUUAGGGUUUUGUCCAACGAUGGUCUUGUGAUGGUUGUGGUUCAAGGCACAAGGCGGCGGCUAGGGUUCCACCACCAUAAAACCCUAGGAAAGUCUUCAGAUCCUUAAUCCCAAAAAUCAUCUCAUCCAGGUGUCCAGUUGAAUUGACAGCCACCACUCGCCAUGACAACCACCUAGAACUGUCGUCGUUUGUUCGAAUCGCCUUCUUUCACUGUUUGACACAACCGCCGGCAACUAUCCAUUAUUUGAGUAUCCAUUGUGGUCGUUGUUGUUGCGAAGUCGCUCAAAGCCGCGAACUAGAAAGCGUCGGUUGGUUUCAGCAGCGUAGAGUCCAGCAAUCGACAUGUUCUAAAUCAUUUGUUUUGGAUUCGUCUCGCUCAACAAUUAAGAAAGUGGAUCCCCAAACGGCUGAGGCAAUAGACCAGUUUAUAGUAAAAUUAAAAGCGUGUGCAACAGGAAGUUCGUCUUUUACUUUCAUUCUUGAUGAUCCUGCUGGCAACAGUUUUGUAGAGAACCCGUUUGCUCCAUCCCCAGAUCCAUCAUUAAGUAUAGAGUUUUAUGAGUGAACUCGUGAGCAAGAUGCUUCAUUGGGCUAUGUCUUUGAAUCAUCAGAAUCAAGUGUUGAACCAUAUAUAUCAGUGGGAGAUUUUGUCUUGAUCUUUUUUGUAAAUAAAAUCAAGGGUGUUAUUGUAAAUUUAGAGUUGGGCCUCUCAUCGUAACCUUUAAAGGAAAGGUAAUGCGCCGAACUGGUUUGCAGGAUCAAGAAACGGUAGAAGCUUUGUCGUUUUUAUGCUCAUCGGUAGUAGACAUGUGUUAUGUGGCUUCAUAUUAUUAUUAUUUUACGACAUUCUUUGUCUUUCUUGUCCCGGCAGUAUUGGUUUUGUGCUUAUCGGAGCUGUGCGAGUCUCCUUCCGUGUUUCACAUCAUCUUAUGCUGAUUUCUUGCUAACGGGCUUCUUUGGACCAUGAUUUAUGUCUUCGAUCUUCGUGUUAGUCAAGUUAGGAUAAAGGACGGUUUAUAGCAUUGACAUUUGGAAAAGGUCCCUCGCAUUUUUUUCCGCUCAAGGCCUCCAAAAUGGUCAGGCUGGUGAUGAUGAGAACAAUUCGUUUCAUUCAUGGAUGAUAAAUUGAUAUUGUAUCAUGCUGCUGUGAUCAGGCGUAAGCCGGACUUUCAUCUCCUCAUGGGAGUUAUUGAAGGUUGUUGGCACUUGGCUGGAGCUGUGAUCGUCAAGGCAUUUGUUGUUGAAAUUGUAUUUUGAAAGAUAAUAAUGCGAGUUCAAAACAGGAGCUAUAGAAUAAUUUGAUGACUUUGUGUUGUUUGUUCCAUUAUAGGUUUUCAUUAGUCAGUAAUUACCUUAUUAGUUUUUUUUUUACAAACUGAAUAUUUUUUCUGUUA